GCCCGUGUGUCUCAAUGGACAGGGCGUCUGCCCUCUAAUUAGAAAUAUGGGAGUUCGAAUCCCCUCACAGGCA
rnacentral:tRNA from 1 species